UUUUUUUAUCAAUCGAUCGGCCAUCUAUAUCGAGUCUAGUCGAUUGUUCGAUCAACGUAAACAUAUCUACGAUCAUACGACUCAAUGCAAAGUAAAAAAAAGAUGUCAAUGAUUCAAUUUAAAUUCUCGUUUUUUCGACGAAGAAACAAAGUCAAUCUUCAGAUAGAAUUCAAUAUCUUUCAAUGGCACUUGUUACAAGAUAUAAAUGUAUACUUUUUUUCAACGUUUCAUAGCUUACUAAUUUCGAACGUGUCGUUGAUAAUACGUUUCGUUUCAUUCGAUAAGACGUUAGAGAAGGGGGAAAGCGUAACGUAAUGUUCUUCAUGCAGAUACCAACGUAAGUACGAGAACGUUUGUUCGUAUUCGAUUAAAUGUUCGGACAAUAUUGACUUGAGACUGGAAUUUAACCAAGUGGUAAAGUUUGGAACGCUAUCUCCGUCAAUAAAUUACGACUCAAAUCGCUUAUGAAAUUCAUGCCAACAUUAUUCUCAUCGAAAACGUCCUUGGACUUCAUUUGUUGUCGCGGCGUCAGUUUAUCUGUAAUAGAUAAGCGGGAAAAAAGAAGAGGAUGUCGGGAAUGAAAGAAGAUCGAAAUGAAAUUUUCCAAAGAAUUUUUCUACACUGUACACUGUACACUAUAGUGUAACACUUUGUUUUUGUCUUUUUUUUUUUUUCUUUUCUUUUUCCUAUCCAAAAUAAUAAUUUACAUUUGACGACUAACAUAGAACGAAAGUAUAUGUAAUGGAAGAAAGAUGAUAUCAUAAUUACAUUAAUAAUGUAAUUUUAAAACUUAUACGACAGUUUGCGACGAUGAGAGAAUAACAUCUAUAAACAAAUCUUAUGAUACGUUAAUAUUUUAUAUGCUUGGCAUACUGCAGUUAAAGGCUGAACUUAAUCCCACCACUGUAAACAGGUAAAAAUAGAAGAAGAUUCGCGUGAUAAUUAAUCUAAAAUAUAACUUAUCGAUAAUCUUAUGUAUAUAACAGAAAACGAAAUAUAAGACUUACGAUAAUCCGCAUCUUUAUGUUGGAUUGUGUUAUGUAAAGUCAAUGCAAGAUA